ACGUUAUAAAAGAGAAUGCAUUCGUCCACCUUGAAUAUUAUUCAUGUUCUGGUUAAAAAAGGCCCUAAUGAUUUAUGCUAUACAACGUUUGACGUGUUUGAACGAACGUAAAUAUAUUUUUUCCCCUCGUUCAUGAAGUGAAGUCCGGCGGGCUUAGAUCAUGUGCUAACAAGACGGAGAUUUUUGGACAUAAAUGAUGAGCUUUUUUGAACAAAACUACAUUCGUUAUGGACCUGUGAUACCUGGAAGUGACAUCUGAUGAAGAGAAUCAAAGCUGCUCUGUCAGAAACAACUUGAAGCACUGCCUCAGAUGGAAAUGGCAAGGGCCGUUGCACUCCAGACUGGGACUCAUCAACGCAAACAGCAGGGCCAGGAGGGGUGAAAUGGCUGGCAGCCUUCCAGCUACCACAGAACUCUUGUACUUCAUCCACUAUCGGUCUGCCUCCAUCACCACCAGCAUCUUCAAAUGGAACUAGGACUUUGUCAGUGGACAAUGGGUCCUCAGAUUCAAGGUUCUCAAUGGCUGGGUUCUCAGCUCCUCACUGUAACUGUCAGAAUCUGAUUCCUGACUUUCAGACUCAUUGUCAGAAUUUUUUUACAUCUCCAGAAUUUCCCAAUUUUGUGAGUUGUCUCCUUUUGAAAGGCAUUGCUAAUGCUACAGCUUCUCAUUAGCUACAUACAUAAACAA
rnacentral:lncRNA from 1 species